rnacentral:rRNA from 1 species
AGAGUUUGAUCAUGGCUCAGGAUGAACGCUAGCGGCAGGCUUAACACAUGCAAGUCGAGGGGUAACAGGGAGCUUGCUCCGCUGACGACCGGCGCACGGGUGCGUAACGCGUAUAGAAUCUACCUUACACUGAGGGAUAGCCUUUGGAAACGAAGAUUAAUACCUCAUAGUAUCAUUUUUUGGCAUCAUUAAAUGAUUAAAGGUUACGGUGUAAGAUGACUAUGCGUCCUAUUAGCUUGAUGGUAAGGUAACGGCUUACCAUGGCUACGAUAGGUAGGGGCCCUGAGAGGGGGAUCCCCCACACUGGUACUGAGACACGGACCAGACUCCUACGGGAGGCAGCAGUGAGGAAUAUUGGACAAUGGAGGCAACUCUGAUCCAGCCAUGCCGCGUGAAGGAUGACUGCCCUAUGGGUUGUAAACUUCUUUUAUACAGGAAGAAACGGUUUCACGUGUGAGACUUUGACGGUACUGUAUGAAUAAGCACCGGCUAACUCCGUGCCAGCAGCCGCGGUAAUACGGAGGGUGCAAGCGUUAUCCGGAAUCAUUGGGUUUAAAGGGUCCGUAGGCGGACUAAUAAGUCAGAGGUGAAAUCCCGCAGCUCAACUGUGGAACUGCCUUUGAAACUGUUAGUCUUGAGUUAUUGUGAAG